CGGGAAAAGCUCAAAUUUUGAAUCUGGCGGUCUCUGGCCGUCCGAGUUGUAAUCUAGAGAAGUGCUUUCCGCGCUGGACCGUGUACAAGUCUCCUGGAACGGAGCGUCAUAGAGGGUGAGAAUCCCGUCUCUGACACGGACUCCCAGUGCUUUGUGAUGCGCUCUCGAC
rnacentral:rRNA from 1 species